AAAUGUAGUUAAACCCAGUCUUUCAUCAUGGCUGCAAACUGUUGUGCUGAUGUUGGCUUGUGUUUUCAGUUCCAUGUAUAAUGUUACCAUCCCCACCCGUGGGUUUCUCUGGAUCUCUCUGCCAAGCUGAUAUUAUGGAGAACAGGCCAGAAACAUCCCUGUGGAGUCAGUGACAGAGGAACAGUUCACAGACGAGGAUGGAAACAUUGUCACCCGAAAAGUCAUCAGGAAAGUAGUACGUCGUAUUGCUGCUACGGCAACUACUUUUACUGCUGCUACUACAGAGGAGGUGAAAGCAGGAGGAGGCCGGCAGGAGGAGAAGGGCAGCAAGAGAAGAAAGCGCUCCCGAGGAGGCCCAAAGGCAGAGCAGAAGAGCUCUAAGGGCCAGAGGGGAAAGACUGAGUCCGGAGAAGGCUCAGGAUCGACGGGGGAAAAGAAGGAAGGGAAAAAGGGUGAAUGGUAACAGUCGUGUGCUCAACCUGGUUUGUUGAUGUUUCAUGACUUCCUGGAAGGGAGAUGACUGGAACGUUGAAGCAGGAGAACAGCCAAUCAGAACGUGUUUGCAGCUUUCACGUUAACGCAUGGUUUUACAGCAAGACCACUUUAUUUGAUUUCGCAUGAGCAUGAAAAACUUACUUUUCUGUCAACGACCUGGCGUCCAGUCAUGACCUGUUGUUACCACGGUGAUGGGAGAACAGGGGUGUGGUCUGCUCCAUCAUGGGGUCACGACAACAGUAGCCACGCCUCCAAGCAUCUCUCUGACCAAUGAGGCACAACAGAAUGUUUGACUGACAGAUUAGAGGAACACUUGGAGUCACCCUCUACAAGCCUUAUAUUUUCUGUCCUGGAACCACUGGGGUGGGUGUAUAAUGUGGUUGUGUUUUUUAAUGACAAUGGGUGGUUUUGUUGUAUAUAAAUGACACAGUAAAAACUUCUGAAGUAAGUCACUGAUAGAAUGUUUUCUGCACUGGUAGGACAGCUUUGCAAAGCAUUGGAAUGAAAUGCCAAUAUUGAUUCCACCUUUAUGAAAACGCUUGGGUGUUACUGCUCAUGUUCUUGUCUAAAUAUUAGCAGGAAAUAUUUGUAAAAUCAAAAUGGUAGCUUGAUUUUAACCUAACUCCACUGCAACUCUCAAACAUCACUUCUGUGAACAUAUUUCCUCAGAUUACUAAUAUUUUGAUGCAUGAGAUUCACCUUAUUUUACUUAUUUUUUUCUCAUUUGCGAACACUGUAUUAUGAAAUAAGCCAAGGGGUGUGUUACUUCUAUCUCUGUCUGUCUACUCAACUCUCCUCUGUCACUAUGACUGAAAGAAACAUCCAUGAACUCUCCUCUGUCACUAUGACUGAAAGAAACAUCCAUGAACUCUCCUCUGUCGCUAUGACUGAAAGAAACAUCCAUGAACACACAGAGCCGCCACAGAGUGGCAGCUGGACAGAGAGGGGAACUCUGGAACAUACAGUUGGAAUAUGCCUCUACUAUUACAGGGGUGGAGAUAUGAGAGCUCCCAAUACAUCAUGUAGACUGACACAUUGGAAAGGGUUAACAGUUCUCAUGUGUAUUGGCUCUAAGCCAGUCAUUGGUAAUCAUUCUAGCAGUGUAAUGUUAUGUUUUAAACCUGCUGUGGUUUAAAGGGGUAUUUUUUAUUGGGGUUUUUGGUGACAUAUUUCCUUAGGUUGAAUCUAUUCAUAUGAGACCACCUAAAGCAUUAAUUGAUGAUAGAUCUGGUAACAUAUGUAUGACAACCAACAUGCGCUGGAUGAUCCAAUUAAUUAUUCAAGCAUAAAUAAAGUGUUUAAACUGAAAA